UACGUAGGGCGCAAGCGUUAUCCGGAAUUAUUGGGCGUAAAGAGCUCGUAGGCGGUUUGUUGCGUCGGCUGUGAAAUCCCGAGGCUCAACCUCGGGUCUGCAGUCGAUACGAGCAAACUAGAGUGUUGCAGGGGAGACUGGAAUUCCUGGUGUAGCGGUGAAAUGCGCAGAUAUCAGGAGGAACACCGGUGGCGAAGGCGGGUCUCUGGGCAACAACUGACGCUGGAGGAGCGAAAGCCGUUGGGGAGCGAACAGG
rnacentral:rRNA from 1 species